rnacentral:lncRNA from 1 species
CAUAGGAAAUCCUAGUAACAAAACAAUUUUGACACAUUAAGAAAAAACAACAAUAUAGAAUCAAGUUUUGCUGAAGUAAAAUGUUGCCUUUCUAGACCUUUAAGAGCGUGGUAUAAUUAAGCAGCAUAAAUUCUGGAGUGAGACUAAUUCCCAGUUCUCAGUUUAAGUCAUUUAACGUCUCUGAUCCUAAAUUACUUUAUUUAAAGUGAGCAUAAAUCCCAGUUUCAUUGGGAAAUUCUCAGUUUAUGCUUGUCAUUCCACCAAUGUAUUAAUGAUCACUUUUAAUGCCCUAUAUGUCUUAAUCUAGAUGACAAAUUAUAUAAUUACCUUACUUCUUAAUAGAAUGAGAACAAUACAUCUCAUCUUACCAGCUCACCAUGAGCAUUACAUGGGGAAAUAUAUCUAAAAUGUCUCACAGGGUUCUAGGCAGAG